AGGCUUUGAUCCUGGCUCAGGAUGAACGCUGGCGGCGUGCCUAACACAUGCAAGUCGAGCGAUUCUCUUAGGAGAAGAGCGGCGGACGGGUGAGUAACGCGUGGGUAACCUGCCCUGUACACACGGAUAACAUACCGAAAGGUAUGCUAAUACGAGAUAACAUAUUUUGAUGGCAUCAUCGAAAUAUCAAAGCUCUGGCGGUACAGGAUGGACCCGCGUCUGAUUAGCUAGUUGGUGAGGUAAUGGCUCACCAAGGCGACGAUCAGUAGCCGACCUGAGAGGGUGAUCGGCCACAUUGGAACUGAGACACGGUCCAAACUCCUACGGGAGGCAGCAGUGGGGAAUAUUGCACAAUGGGCGAAAGCCUGAUGCAGCAACGCCGCGUGAGCGAUGAAGGCCUUCGGGUCGUAAAGCUCUGUCCUACAAGGAAGAUAAUGACGGUACUUGAGGAGGAAGCCCCGGCGUA
rnacentral:rRNA from 1 species